CCAACGGGUGGCUGCAGUGGGGAAUAUUGGACAAUGGGCGAAAGCCUGAUCCAGCCAUGCCGCGUGUGUGAAGAAGGCCUUCGGGUUGUAAAGCACUUUCAGUGGGGAAGAAAGCCUUGGGGCUAAUACCCUCGAGGAAGGACAUCACCCACAGAAGAAGCACCGGCUAACUCCGUGCCAGCAGCCGCGGUAAUACGGAGGGUGCGAGCGUUAAUCGGAAUUACUGGGCGUAAAGCGCGCGUAGGCGGUCUGAUAAGCCGGUUGUGAAAGCCCCGGGCUCAACCUGGGAACGGCAUCCGGAACUGUCAGGCUAGAGUGCAGGAGAGGAAGGUAGAAUUCCCGGUGUAGCGGUGAAAUGCGUAGAGAUCGGGAGGAAUACCAGUGGCGAAGGCGGCCUUCUGGACUGACACUGACGCUGAGGUGCGAAAGCGUGGGUAGCAAACAGGAUUAGAUACCCCGGUAGUC
rnacentral:rRNA from 1 species